rnacentral:rRNA from 1 species
AUGACGACAGCAGUGAGAAUUCUUACCAGUAUGCCGACUCAGCUUCAGACGCCGACAUCGUCAAGGCCAGUUGCUAGAGCUAGGGUUAGGGUUAGGGCGCCGAUCCCUGCUACCACGGAUGACUCCGAUUUCGUGGGCCCUGAAAUUGACAUCGUUGUUUUGUGCCACGAACAUGGGGAACCGGCAGAGAGGCAUGUUGCUUUCGAAGGUAUUCACACUGGAAGGAGAUUUCUUGCUUGUGCUGAGAAGUUAGAGGAUCUGGCUAAGAGAAUAUAUCUGCUGUUAGAGGGUAGGAACUUUGGACUAGUUGAAUGGAUUGAUCCAGCUUGGCCAACUACAAUGGAGAAUGCAUUGGCCAUGUUAUGGGAGAUGUAUGAAGAGUGCAAGAGAAACAAGAUUGAGGACAAUCUAAAUAAGUAG